AGACAGGAAGGGAAGUGUCAGAAGUUGCCCAGGAUAAAGCAGCAAGUUCAUGCAGAAAUGAAGAGUUUGGGGAGGCGGGUGAUGCCAGGAUCGUCUCCCCCAUCCCUUGGCUUCCCGCAGGUGUGCCAAGGGGAGCAGAGCCACCUCGCUCUUCUAUGUCUGCACAGGGGGGAUUUUCCCAUGAGGAUGCAAUGCCCUCUGCUAAUGAGCUAAUGACGAGCCUCUUGGCUGGCGCUACCCUACCAUCUCCUAUCACUGGCACUGCAUGUGAAUAAGCCUGCCUGUGCAGAUUCAUCUGAUACACCGUUUGACUUUGUAGUCUGAAAUUAGCAGGGAUAAAGUCCUCUAAUGUAUUUGUGUUACGUAGGAACUCUGGAGGGAAUUCAUAAAAUCCGAUGAGAACAAUCGCAUUUGCUUUGAUGCAAGCUGCCUCCAGAACAAGUCCUCUUUGUUUUGCUGCCUGCAGACGGGGCACUGGGUACAGGCAGGGAGCUGCCCUCUUAAAAAUGCUGCCAGCAGUGUAA